rnacentral:rRNA from 1 species
AUACGGAGGAUGCAAGCGUUAUCCGGAUUUAUUGGGUUUAAAGGGUGCGUAGGCGGUUUGCUAAGCGGGAGGUGUAAUGCCGGCGCUCAACGUCGGAAGUGCCUCCCGAACUGGUGGACUUGAAUGACUCUGCCGUGGGAGGAAUGUGUAGUGUAGCGGUGAAAUGCUUAGAGAUUACACAGAACACCGAUUGCGAAGGCAUCUCACGAAGGGUUGAUUGACGCUGAGGCACGAAAGCGUGGGGAUCAAACAGGAUUAGAUACCCUGGUAGUCCACGCAGUAAACGAUGAUGGCUAACCGCUGGGCUUAUCAGUUCAGUGGCCAAGCGAAAGCGAUAAGCCAUCCACCUGGGGAGUACGACCGCAAGGUUGAAACUCAAAUGAAUUGGCGGGG